GGACUGGGAAGCCCCAUAACCUGAUGGGGAUUUUCCUAAGAGUCCAGAGAAGCCAGGUCCCAUCAUGGACACCAUUGUCGUUCCAACCUGUUCAGCCAUCCUGGAGAUCUCCAAAACCAAGAAAUAAGCUGCUUUUGUGAUCUAGCCAUAACGUGUUUGGAGCAGGUACUUACUGCAUCAGGGGGUCCCUCUGAAGACAGAUUAGAACGUGGUGGUCCCUGCCUCUGGUCCCAGCACUUGGAAAG
rnacentral:lncRNA from 1 species